AAGGUGCAAGAUCGGUCUUAGAUGCAAGUUCAACCAUCCAAAAGAUAAAGUUGAAGUUCUAAAUGCAUCUGUAGGUGGUACUUAUGCAGAAGUUAUUGGAUCCACUUCAUUCUUGCCCCUAUGAGAAUUUUGACACUUCCUCUAAUAUAUGGAUCAUGCGAUAGCAGGUUGCAUCAGAAACUGCUGAUGCUUCAGAAGUUCUAAAUCUGUUGAUUCAAAUUUAUUUUUCUAUUGACUCGGAACUCAAGAGUCCAAUUGUAUUGAAUCACCAGUUGAUUUUGAAUUUAUUUUUCUUCAACUUUGAUUUGCACUAUGUAGGUGCAUAAUCGUAUCAUUUGCUUUUUCGAAAUAUUGAGAAUGCAUGUAUGUAAAUGCUUGUUUUGGAAAUUGUUGAAUAAUUGAUCUUAAAUCAGUGUACUGAAACAAAUCUGUCCUAGUUAGCAUCAUUUCAUCAUCCAUAAGUAGUGUUCUUGUUUUUUACUAUUCCAUUAGGAUAGCCAUCCAGAUAGUGGCCCGUUGUUCUUUGUGAAGCCCACCCGAAGUACAUGGCUAUAUAUUUCCUUUUGGCAAUAAAAUACAGGUCGGGUGAUUCCACUGGUUUGCUUUUAAAAAAAAAAAAGAGUUGCUGAAAUUGGUUUAGUCUAUAUGCAUGUUCUGCUUUUUAGUCACUUGGUGAGAUGUUUCUUCUUGAUAGUUGGCUUGAGGUCACUGAUGAACGACUUAGUUACUAGCAAUUCACACAAAACUUUCAUAAAAGGUAUUGUUCUUUGUGCUUCUAUAAUUUCAUUAUGGUUUACUUCCAUCUUUUAUUUCAUUUACUGUUGGAACAUGCCUUGAGGAAUCAGACACCAUACUUGCCAUGUUUAUGAUUUGCCUUGUAAUCUGGACCAUUCACCAUGCAGUGCUCGUCAUAGAUGAAAGUUUCAAGAUUGAUGAAAUGUUGAAAUCCUUGCUUGGGUUGUCAGGAUUUUACUUCAAUUUGGGGAUUUUGUACUUCAAGUGCUUAUUUGGAUGCACCAUUGCAACAAUACCACUUUGAAGUUUGCAUCUUCAAGAAGACAAAUCAGUUGGAUGUUCAGCUGAAAGCAGUGCAGUUGCUUGGGUGUAGUUUGGUUCAUGGAAUAUAUGGGCAUGCAUCAGCAUGGUUGCAAAAUGGUAGUGGUUCAUGCAAAAUCGUUCAUCCCCAAACACUCAUCUCUCUCUCUUCCAGAAAGCAACACAGAGGGACGGAGAGAGUUAAGGAUUUCUUCAACUACUACAGGCUGAUGUAAGCUUAGCAUGAAUGCACUCACUUGGACAAAAAUCUUAUUCUGGUCUUGACUGUUGUUCAGCAUGGUGUGUGGGUCAACAUGGGAUCUGAUCUGUUAAAUAGAGAAUUUCUGUGUUGGCAAUCUUCUGAAGAUGGUUGUGGUGUUGGCUCUCUUUUACAUUGGUAAGUUUUAAACGGUUGAUAAGAAGCAAACUGCUGCUAAUCAUGCAAGUUUUAGAAAAUUCUGAUGCAUAAUGUUGGGUGUUAUCCACUGCUAAUCAUACAUUGGUGUUGGCUUUCUUUUACUGCUCAAACUGCGAACCUAUUGGAAGGAUUGGGUGUCACAAGAACUUAAUAGGUUGGACGUUAUCCACUGUAGCAUGCACUGAUUAAUGUUACUUGAUGUCCAAAUCUUAUGCUUACAAUGCUUAGAAGAUUACUGACAUAAACAUCGUACCCCCGGUACGCAUAAAUCCUUUUGUAUUAUGAGAAUAAUACUUUUCGACAACUGCGAGUUUGUAUUUUAUCUAAUGAUCUUUCAACUACUACAGGCUGAUGGUACAAGCUUGCAUGAAUCUCCGAUCUAUUUGGCUACUGUUCUUUAGUACUUGGCAGCUGAGGUUUUGGAGCUGGCUGGGAAUGCUGCUAGAGACAAUAAGAAGUCUCGCAUCAUUCCAAGGCAUGUUCUUUUGGCUGUCAUAAAUAAUGAGGAGCUUAGGAAAUUGCUAGCUGGUGUGACAAUUUCAAGUGGUGGUGUUUUGCCAAACAUGAACUCUUUCUCUUGCCUAAGAAGUCUGAGGAAGCUUCAAAAUCUCCAAAAAAAGGAUUGAUUGGGUUGGGAUGAAUGCUUAGGCCCCACUAUGUAAUUCUUAUUUAAUGGAUUUUUUGGGCAUUUCUUCAAAUUUGUAAUUUUGGUUUUGGUGUUGGGAUGGUCACUGCUGCUUUCUUUUCUUUUUCUAUAUUUUGUAAAUAGAGUAAUCUUACUGUUGAGGUUUA